rnacentral:rRNA from 1 species
GUUAGUUGGUAAGGUAACGGCUUACCAAGACGGCGAUAGGUAGGGGUCCUGAGAGGGAGAUCCCCCACACUGGUACUGAGACACGGACCAGACUCCUACGGGAGGCAGCAGUGAGGAAUAUUGGACAAUGGAGGCAACUCUGAUCCAGCCAUGCCGCGUGCAGGAAGACGGCCCUAUGGGUUGUAAACUGCUUUUACAGAGGAAGAAACCUCUCCACGUGUGGAGAGCUGACGGUACUCUGCGAAUAAGGACCGGCUAACUCCGUGCCAGCAGCCGCGGUAAUACGGAGGGUCCAAGCGUUAUCCGGAAUCAUUGGGUUUAAAGGGUCCGUAGGCGGAAUAAUAAGUCAGUGGUGAAAGUCUGCAGCUUAACUGUAGAAUUGCCAUUGAUACUGUUGUUCUUGAAUUAUUAUGAAGUGGUUGGAAUGAGUAGUGUAGCGGUGAAAUGCAUAGAUAUUACUCAGAACACCUAUUGCGAAGGCAGAUCACUAAUAAUAUAUUGACGCUGAGGGACGAAAGCGUAGGUAGCGAACAGGAUUAGAUACCCUGGUAGUCUACGCCGUAAACGAUGGUUACUAGCUGUCCGGCCUAAUUGAGGGCUGGGUGGUUAAGCGAAAGUGAUAAGUAACCCACCUGGGGAGUACGUUCGCAAGAAUGAAACUCAAAGGAAUUGACGGGGGCCCGCACAAGCGGUGGAGCAUGUGGUUUAAUUCGAUGAUACGCGAGGAACCUUACCAGGGCUUAAAUGCAGUCUGACAGGUCUGGAAACAGACUUUUCUUCGGACAGAUUGCAAGGUGCUGCAUGGUUGUCGUCAGCUCGUGCCGUGAGGUGUCAGGUUAAGUCCUAUAACGAGCGCAACCCCUGUGGUUAGUUGCCAGCGAGUCAUGUCGGGAACUCUAGCCAGACUGCCGGUGCAAACCGCGAGGAAGGUGGGGAUGACGUCAAAUCAUCACGGCCCUUACGUCCUGGGCCACACACGUGCUACAAUGGUAGGGACAGAGGGCAGCUACCCCGCGAGGGGAUGCGAAUCUUCAAACCCUAUCACAGUUCGGAUCGCAGUCUGCAACUCGACUGCGUGAAGCUGGAAUCGCUAGUAAUCGCAUAUCAGCCAUGAUGCGGUGAAUACGUUCCCGGGCCUUGUACACACCGCCCGUCAAGCCAUGGA